rnacentral:misc_RNA from 1 species
UCGAAUAAACUUGAACAGGCUGUUGCUGGCUCUCCUUUUGGUGGGGGAGUACGUGCACGCUUGUCAUCUUUAUCUCUCCAACUGUGCACAUUUUGUAGACCUUGUGGGGUUGGAUUUGUUUCCGAGUUGGGGACUGCUGUGAACUCAGCUUUUCCCUUGCAGGGUCUAUGUUCUCUGUUUUCACAAACCUGUUCAGAAUGUUAAUAAAUAAAAAGUUAAUUAUA